ACGGAAGGCAGCAGUGGGGAAUAUUGCACAAUGGGCGAAAGCCUGAUGCAGCGACGCCGCGUGAGUGAAGAAGUAUUUCGGUAUGUAAAGCUCUAUCAGCAGGGAAGAAAAAUGCCGGUACCUGACUAAGAAGCACCGGCUAAAUACGUGCCAGCAGCCGCGGUAAUACGUAUGGUGCAAGCGUUAUCCGGAUUUACUGGGUGUAAAGGGAGCGCAGGCGGUACGGCAAGUCUAAUGUGGAAGCCCGGGGGUCAACCCCGGUACUGCAUUGGAAACUGUCGAGCUAGAGUGUCGGAGGGGUAAGCGGAAUUCCUAGUGUAGCGGUGAAAUGCGUAGAUAUUAGGAAGAACACCGGUGGCGAAGGCGGCUUACUGGACGAUAACUGACGCUGAGGCUCGAAAGCGUGGGGAGCAAACAGGAUUAGAUACCCUGGUA
rnacentral:rRNA from 1 species